rnacentral:rRNA from 1 species
UACGAAGGGUGCAAGCGUUACUCGGAAUUACUGGGCGUAAAGCGUGCGUAGGUGGUUCGUUAAGUCUGAUGUGAAAGCCCUGGGCUCAACCUGGGAAUGGCAUUGGAAACUGGCGACCUAGAGUGCGGUAGAGGGUAGUGGAAUUCCCGGUGUAGCAGUGAAAUGCGUAGAUAUCGGGAGGAACACCGGUGGCGAAGGCGACCAUCUGGACGGAUACUGACGCUGAGACGCGAAAGCGUGGGUAGCAAACAGG